rnacentral:rRNA from 1 species
AAACAUCUCUAGUAGAAAAUAUUUUUGGUUUUCCCUGCUCUAUGCUGUAAAUAGCUGCAGUAUAUUGACUGUACAAAGGUAGCAUAAUCACUAGCUUUUUAAUUGAAAGCUUGUAUGAAUGGGAGAACGUAAAAUUAUUAUUUAAAAUUUGAACUUGAUUUUUAAGUUAAAAAGCUUAGUUUUAUUAAAGGGACGAGAAGACCCUAUAGAAUUUAAAGAUUUUUUUGUUGGGGUAACGAAUUAUAACAUUCUUUUAUCAUUGAUAAAUGUAAAAUGAUCUUUAAUUAGAUUAUAAGAAUAAAUUACCUUAGGGAUAACAGCAUAAUUUUUUUUGAAAGGUCUUAUUAAUGAAAAAGAUUAUGACCUCGAUGUUGAAUUAAUUUUAAUUAGGCGCAGAAGUUAAUUA